GUGGGUAUAGCUUGGUGGCAGGGCACAUGCUUAGCAUGCAUGAGGUCCUGGGUUCAAUGUCCAGUACCUACA
rnacentral:tRNA from 1 species